AUGGGGAACAUACUGACCUGUUGUGUGUGCCCCAGGGACAGCCACGAGUUUGACCAGCAACAGGGGUCAGUGUACCCCUCUGAGUCCGAGAUCCAUGAGGCAGGAUCUGGGGACAGGAUGGCAGGAGCGCCCAUGGCUGCUGCUGUACAGCCUGCUGAGAUGACUGUUGAAGUUGGUGAAGACCUCCACAUGCACCACAUCCAUGACCGGGAGAUGCCUGAAGCUUUGGAGUUUAACCCUUCUGCCAAUCCAGAGGCAAACACAAUAUUCCACGGGAACUGUCAAACAGAUGAAGAAAGUUGGAGUUUUGGCUGGGCAUGGUGGCUCACGUCUGUAAUCCCAGCACUUUGGGAGGCUGAAGUGAGCAGAUCAUCUGAGGUCAGGAGUUCAAGACCAGCCUGGCCAACAGGUGAAAACCCAUCUCUACUAAAAAAAAAUACAAAAUUAGCUGGACGUGGUGGCGCAUGCUUGUAGUUCUAGCUAUUCACGAGGCUGAGGCAGGAGAAUUGCUUGAACCCAGGAGGCGGAGGUUGCAGUGAGCAGAGAUUGCGCCAAUGCACUCAACCUGGGUGACAGAGUGAGACCCCAUCUCACCAAAAAAAAAAAAAAAAAAAAAGUUAGAGUUUUUCAGUCUCUACACUGCUGGGAGAGGCGGGGGAUGGGAGGCGGUAGAAAAUAGAAAACAGUUGAUUUGCCUCCAAAAUUUUGCAAAGAGAUGAAUCUAAGUAAAAGUUAUUCUGGGUAAUAAUAUAGUUCUUGAAUAAAAACUAAAAUUUUCAAAAUAGAAAACGUUGCAUCAUAAAGAUAUUAAAUCCAGUUGGCUUAUUGGUUUCAUUUAAAUGCCAGAGAUUCGUUACUGUAGAGGAAAUGUCUUAUAGUUCUUCUAUCUAAACUUUGGUUGGGCUCUUAAUUUUUUAAGAAGUAGAAUAAUUAAGACUCUUGAUGAGUGUGACUUUGUAACUUGGAAGUACUAUCCUCACUUUUCAAGAUAUUUAAGGAUUGCUUUAGAACAAACAAAUAUAUGAAUUAAUUGAUUAUACCUUUAUACACAAAACAUGUAAGUACUUGUGUAAACGUAUAGUCUGCUUGGUGAUGUAAGGAAAGGCUGAUUGGUGUUACACACCAGUUAGUAGA
rnacentral:lncRNA from 1 species